UACGUAGGGUGCGAGCGUUGUCCGGAAUUAUUGGGCGUAAAGGGCUCGUAGGUGGUUUGUCGCGUCGGGAGUGAAAUUCCCUGGCUUAACUGGGGGCGUGCGGGCGAUACGGGCAGACUGGAGUACUGCAGGGGAGACUGGAAUUCCUGGUGUAGCGGUGGAAUGCGCAGACAUCAGGAGGAACACCGGUGGCGAAGGCGGGUCUCUGGGCAGUAACUGACGCUGAGGAGCGAAAGCGUGGGGAGCGAACAGG
rnacentral:rRNA from 1 species